AACGUAGGUGGCAAGCGUUAUCCGGAAUUACUGGGCGUAAAGCGUGUGCAGGCGGAACGAUAAGUGGUGUAUGAAAUUUCCCAGCUUAACUGGGAGGGGUUAUGCCAGACUGUCGUUCUAGAGGGUGAGAGAGGAGCGUGGAAUUCCGGGUGUAGUGGUGAAAUGCGUAGAGAUCCGGAGGAACCCCAGAGGCGAAGGCGGCGCUCUGGCUCACCCCUGACGCUCAGACACGACAGCAUGGGGAGCGAACGGG
rnacentral:rRNA from 1 species